AUUAUAUUUGUUAUUAUUAUUACAUUUAUAUUAGUGUUAUUAUUAUUUUUAUUUUUAUUAUUAUUAGAAUUUCCAAACGAAGUCCCUAACAUAACUGCAAUCAGAGUUGGAUGGAACAAUGGCCGCCCUGACAGUGCCUGGGAUCAGAGUUCAGUGACUUUUCAGGAUCGUAUGCAAUUUUUGCUAUCCUUUUGAUUUUUUUUUAAAAAGGAUAAAUUUUGAUAUUCUACAGUUCUCUUUGUAUAACAAAAGUAUGUUUCUCUGGCUGCAACAAGAGCAGAUGCAAGAAUGGUUCUGGUUAUACUGCAUGCUUCUGGGACAAAAAUAGUGGUAUCAUGAAUAUUUUAUGUGAUGCAGAUUGUACAUUUAUUUCUUGCUUUGUGGUCAAGAUAUUUAUUAUUUAGUUUGUUGUUUGCUUUUUGGUGUUUCUAGUCUGUCCAUAUUGUAUAUUACGCUUUAAUGUUAUCUUUAUUUGUCAAGAGUUCAUGUUGUUUUAUCAGCUGUAUUUGUGUUAAUGUUUUGAAGAUACUCUAGUAUGGUCUCUUGUAAUUGGUGUGAAGCCAGUAAGAUCAGACACAAAGGGUACGGAAAAGAUUCCUCUCAGUCGGUGAGAGCAUCAACAAUCUUCAUACAUGUUACCUUGGGGCAAAAGCAUCUUAAGUUUUGUUAUACUUAUUAUUUUCUGCUGAAACUGAUAAAGCUGGUGGAAUGUUGUGAAAAUGAACGGUUUGGAACCUCUGGUUGUGCGGUCAGUUGAACAGAUAUAUUUGGAUGUGGAGCCGUUUUAUUUUUUCCUUCCCUUGUUUGACUUUUCAUGGCAGAUGUGGGUAGAAAAACCUUGGCUUUGUCAUCAUUGUGUUUGUGAAGGAAGCCUGUGAUCAUUGUCAAUGCAGCCAGGUGAAGUGAGGCACUUCUGGAGAACUGAAUGUUUCAGUUGGUGGGGAGAAAAGAUCAAAAUGAUGGAUAUUUUGUGAAAUGUCUUAGCUACGAUUGGUAAUAGUUUGUGAUUUGUCCUUUCCUCUCAACGUCCGAUGCAUUGCUCAAAUCAUGUACAUGUCAUGCAUUGUGUGAGCUGAGUCUUGCCCUGUUGUGGGCAACCUCCAGAAGGAUUGUCAUCUGGAAGGAUUUUUUUAUUGAAUUUUUUAUUUGAGUAUAGUAAUUUGGAAGUGGUGUACUGUUGUUUGAGCUUGAGAUUUCCCCAGCUAUCAUCCUGGUUGGCCUGAGAUACUUGAAUGGCCAUACUUGGCAGCCAGUGGCUUUAUAUACCCUUGCAAGCCUAUAUAUGCAAUCAUAUACUGUGGGUUGGUGGGUUUGUCUAGUUAUCAGAGCCUUUUUUCUACCAGUUCUGCCAGACACAUAUACAUUGUUGGUUUGGUGGUACUCUGCUGUGAUUUGCUCCUUCUUUCCUAUCAAAGUGUUAAUCAAAAUCUGUCUAUCCGUUUAUCUCUUUUUUUUUUGUAUGUAACUCUUGUUACUCCUCUAAUUUUUGGCACUAAUGUGACCUAAUUGUGUUUUUCAAGUGCCAGAAAACUCAUACUAAAACUUAAAAAAUCUGACACAUUCAAUUCAUCUCUUCUGGGUAUGCUGGCACUGGUUUGCAGUGUUUUCUGGUUGCCUUUCCUCAGUGAGUGGGUGUGGACCACACUUGAUGCAAUCCUCUCUUCUCCCUACUCCUACCCAAACUGCCUUACUUAUAAUAUUUACAUGUCACCUUAUAUCUUUUGGUGAACAAUGAUGAUUAGCUUAAAAGAAUAGAAAAAGAAAAUGAAGACAGAUCCCAAAGGUGUUACAAGUUAAGAUUAAGUUGGAUUAGUUAUGGCUUGUUUUAGUAAUUGUGUUCAUCUGUGCACUCAUCAACUCAUCACUCACUAUUUGUGAUAUGAUAGGCAUGGUAGAAGUCUCCACUACUUUAAGGGGAGAUUAAUUUUAUUCAAUCAUGGGUUGUUCUUUCUAGUGCGAAUAACACUGUUUAGAACAUUUACAUGUUUAAUUAAAUUUUAAAGUAAAAUACAUAAAGUGAAUAGCUUAGCUCUGGGUACAUUAAUUCCUGCUAUGCUUACUUUCUGGCUGCAACACCCACCUGACUUGCUUAAUAGUAUCACAAAACCAGACCGCUGACUCGUCAAGAAAGGAUUUUACCUGAGGGUUGGGUUGGUAUUUGUUGUUAGUCUUUCUUCUUGUUUUUUUUUGAGAUGGUAUGACUUUACCCCCAUUGGUUCAAGGCAUGUAUAGAUCAGAUAUGUGACCAAUGUAAUUGAAAGUUCGAUAGAAGGUCUUUCACUUUAGCCUACAAUAUUUACAUACUUUAAAAAUGUUUUCUCUUUUUGCAAUGGAAUCCAAGUAUGACAAACCCUGAUGUAAUUCAGUUUCACAUAGUUUUAUAGUUAUUUGUUGCAAAACUCCUGCACCUGACAUUUAGACAGUUUUACGGAGAGCAGAAAAUCUGUCCAGAUUCUUAUUUCUAAAGAUGAAGUUAUAACUUUUGGAGUACCAUAUACAUUAUUUACACUUAUCUUGCAUAUACUGUGCUGUUUGCCAUUUUUAACAACUUAUUGUAAAUGAAUAAGUGAUAGCAGUGAGUUUGAGGAAUUCAUUUGGAGAAUGUCACAAGCCACACACAAAAAAAAUGACGUGGUAAACUCCCAUGAGCCGCUUGAAUUAUACUUAUACCUGCACGAGUUACACAUCAUGGAAUGAUUCAUUACGUCACGUUUAAUUUGCUUUCAGGAAGUGUUUAUCAGUGAACGAGGCUGAAGCACCUUUUGUUAAAGCUAAAGUAGAGGAAAAAAGAAAAAUGCAAAUGUAUGCAGCUGAUAGCUCUUCUUGUAAAAGAACAUGCCCUUAUUUGUUAUGCCUUAAAGUUUUUAAGACCGAAACCAUAAAGAUUGCAAUUCUUCUUUUCUUUGCAUGUUACUCUCUUGUUGUCACCUCUAAUCUUUAUGAAGCACUUAUAUAUAUUAUGUCUAUUUGUGCAAGUGCUGUAAAACUCUUAAAUAAAACAAACAACCCUCGUUUUAUUAAAUUGAAAGAGGCUGAAACAGCUUGAAACGACUUAUUUAUUAUAAAAGGAAGCCUGUUGAACCUCGUAGGAGUUCCCACUGUUGUGCAAAUAGUCCUUCUUCCCUUCCCCUGUAUUGUGGUUUUUAUCUCUUCUUUCUUGCUUUUCCCCAACAUGAAAUGAUCAGUAUUGUAUUGAUACUGUUGUUGUUCAUGUUUGUUCAGAAACUUGAACAACACAGAUUGGUAGAACAAGCUCUUCUGUUGGUGAAAUGAUCAAAUACAAGAGUAUAUUUAUUGUUGCUCUUUCAACUGUUUUCUUUUUUUUUUUUUUUUUUUUUUUAAAGUGCAACCAUCAUUCUUCUUUUUGUAUUGCUGUAGUCAUUGACCAACAGUUUGUUUGAUAUUUUGUACAGUUGAUCCUAGAGAUGAACCGACUUUUUAUUGUGUGCUUCACUCAUUUCCGGUAGUGAACCUUUGUGUCUGAUGCCUUUUAGCCUACCUGCAGAAAGGAUAGCGUCUCUUGCUAAAAUUACAUAAUAUGUCAUCUGCCAGCUGUUCAGAUGUGCUCCCCAAUUUUUGAACACUUUUUUUUUAUAACAGUUUCUUAACUUGUGGUAUCGGAUGCAUGUGCUCAAGAAAUAUCUUGUGAAAAUUCAAAUUUUAAAUUUGGAGAAAAAACAAAGCAAGAAAUACAUUCUGUAGGUACAGAUACAAUAAGAAAAACAAUUUUGAUCUCUCUCCUGAGAAAUGUUGCUUUUUGGACUUAAAACAGAUGAACAGCUUGCUGACAUUGUGCAUUUUGCAAUGUAAGUUCUUCUGUCCAUCUUUCUAACAGAAUUGUUAUCUCUUUUUUUAUAAUGAAUAUCUUUGUACUUCCUGUGUUGAUGUUGUUGGGAGAAGUUUAAGUAUACCAAUGUUGUUCAGAGCACUGUGUAUGUUGUUCAGAGCACUUUUUGUUGCCAUGGAUGGUAGGCAGGAAAGCAUUAAUGUGGCUCAUAUGUUGGUAUCUGGCUUUUCUGUCUUGAUUUUGUGCUACAUAUACUCAAAGGAUGACCUAUGAUGGACUGUCUAAGCAAGGAACUUUGUAGUAGACUGCUCCAGUUAUUGGAAUGUCUAAGUGAAAAAAAACUUGAGCGUUUGACUAAAAUAAUUUAUUGUAAGUGUUUUUAACACAAUUUAGAUCCCAGUCAUUUAGGAGGUGGGCUUCAACCCUGCCUGUUAGUGUUAGCGUCAACCUUGACAUCAGUUUGCUGGACUCAAGCUGCCCUACACAACUUUGAAAACAUAAUCACUAACAGCAGUGUGAAGGAUCUGACUGAGUUUUAUUUUUGAAAAAAACGUAUUACGUUAGGGAAAAGUCUGUUCGACUACAUUGUCCAUUACUUGUGUGUGUUUCUGCUGGAUGUUCAGUUUUUAGUUAGCUCCGUUUCAGUACUUCCGUGGAAUCCUUGUUAUUUUCUCAUUCCUGUAGACUUUGGUGUAGGUGAAGUUUCUUGACUGUGCUGUCCCGAGUAUUUAUGAUGGGGUCUUCUUAACACUUUGCCGCCUCAUCUCACAGAUUGGCGAUGUUUACCACCCAGUUUCUUCGGAUUUUCCCCAGAAUAUGAUGGCAAAGUGUUAAUGUACAACGAGCAUGAUAUUGAUAUAUUAUAACAGAAGUGUGGCCACACAACGUAAGUCGUGUGCAGAGGUGACAACACUGUACACCAUGUGACACAGCACUGUAUGUCAGGUACAGGUGAAAUGUCAUACGCCAUAUGUAGAAGUGACACCCAACCAUGUCAUGUGUAGAGGUGACGCAAACCAUGUGUCAUGUAUACAUGAUAUGUCGUCAUACCGUACAUCAUGUGUAGAGGUGAUAUGUCGUCAUACAUCAUGUGUAGAGGUGAUAUGUCGUCAUACAUCAUGUGUAGAGGUGAUAUGUCGUCAUGCAUCAUGUGUAGAGGUGAUAUGUCGUCAUGCAUCAUGUGUAGAGGUGAUAUGUCGUCAUACAUCAUGUGUACAGGUGAUAUGUCGUCAUACAUCAUGUGUACAGGUGAUAUGUCGUCAUACAUCAUGUGCAGAUAUGACACAUCAUAUGUCAUGUUCAGAGGUGACACCAGACCACAUGUCAUGUAUAUAUGUGAUAUGUCGUCAUACAUCAUGUGAGAGAUGCCACAAUAUAUGACGCGUCAUAUACAAAAGUGGCCACAAUUUUCCAACCCUUUUUCAGCCUACCUGCUGGCAGAGAUCAAGAUUUCCUCUGACAUUAUGGCGGUCAAGUGCUUUGAUGUUAUACAUUACCUGUCUUCAGAGUCAAUUAUUAUAUUUAAUCUAUUUACAACAAUGACAAAUCAAUUAGAAUGAGAGUUGAAGACAACAAAAGGAUGAGACAGUGUGAGUGACACCUUGUUUUUGAGAAUUGGGAAAAUAAAUAUUGAUGAAUGAGAAAGAUGUCAAAA
rnacentral:lncRNA from 1 species